rnacentral:rRNA from 1 species
GAUGAACGCUGGCGGCGUGCCUAAUACAUGCAAGUCGAGCGAACAGACGAGGAGCUUUCUCCUUUGACGUUAGCGGCGUACGGGUGAUUAACACGUGGGUAACCUACCUAUAAGCCUGGGAUAACUUCGGGAAACCGGAGCUAAUACCGGAUAAUAUUUCGAACCGCUUGUUUCGUUAGUGAAAGAUGGCUUUUCUAUCCCUUAUAGCUGUAUCUGCGCCGUUUUAGCUAGUUGUCAAAGUAACGGCUUACCAAGGCAACGAUACGUAGCCAACCUGAGAGAAUGAUAGGCAACACUGGAACUGAGACACGGUCGAGAAUACUACGGGAGGCAGCAGUAGGGAAUCUUCCGCAAUGGGCGAGAGCCUGACGGAGAAAAGCAGCGUGAGUGAUGAAGGUCUUCGGAUCGUAAAAAGCUGUUAUUAGGGAAGAAUAAACGUGUAAGUAAAUGUGCACGUCUUGACGGUACCUAAUCAGAAAGACACGGCUAACUACGUG